UAAGCCAGGUUCAGAUACAGGAGCGACUGUCACAGACGAAGAGAAUGAACCUUCAACCAAACGCCAGAAAACCGAUGAUGGUGAACCCGCCAGCGAACCUUGAUUGACAUUGUCAUCGUAACUUUUUGUUCGUCAAUCUUGAUAUCACUUGUUGUUUCUUUCUUGUGAGCGAACAGACUAUUGAUAGUACCUACUGUGACAUGUUUUGAGCAAUGAAUUUUGAUCAGGCAAUUUUACUCUAUAGCCCCCCCCCCCCCCCCCAUUAUUUGCCAGUUGAUGGUGAUUAAGUAGCUGUGACAUGUGCUAUACAAACGAAGCUAUACUUGUGCCUAACCCAACAGACCCUGCCCAUCUGCCAGAGCGUCCAGACACGCAAUCUGGGCCUCGAGAGAGCCCUUAUCACGGCGCGCCUCCGCCGCUCUAUUAUGAGACCAGCCAUGCAGAAAUUUACGGAUCGCAUAGGAGCACUUGUGCCGGUCAUCCAUGGGUCCCAAGGACCGGCGGCAAGACGAAAGAAGCAUUUACGGAUCGCAUAGGAGCACUUGUGCCGGCCAUCCAUGGGUCCCAAGGACCGGCGGCAAGACGAAAGAAGCCCAGAGAGGGACCGGCGGCAAGACGAAAGAAGCCUAGAGAUUUUUGAAGCUAACAGCUUCGAAAAACCUUGAACGAGAAGCCACGACGCGUCGAACUAGAAGCGAGACGGGAUAACGGGAGCCUCCAAACCUGUGUCGAGGAUAAGAGGUGCAUGGUCCGAGCCCACAAUGGACUUGACUUUAAGAAAAGCGCGAGGAAACAGAGAAUCCCAGGAAGGACAGAUAAAUGUUCGAUCAAGAGGCGAACGAAUAGGGUUAGCUUGACCAUUAGACGAGGUGAAGCGGGCUUCCACCUUUGGAAGUUCUCGAAAAGUGCAAUCACGAAUGAAAGAGUUGAAGGCAUCAGCCAGGGGCCAUGAAAAGUUACUAGAACUCUUAUCCGUAGGGGAGCGAAGGAGGUUAAACCCCAUCAACUAGCAGAGGAAGCGCACACGCAUCAAUUUUAUUAGGGAAUGCAUCCAGAAAUAAGUAGCGAAUCCAGAAAUAAGUAGGACAAAGAGUGGUCCGCAGGAUCGUAAACAACCAUGAUUUCGAAAAGUCGAUUAAGACUUCGAUGAUGCACCACCGUGCUGGCUCAAAAGACACCGUGAUCAAAAGCCACACGAUCAAACACAUCGCGCUUGGUACCCAGUAGGAUUCCGUCGGAGUGGCCUGAGGAAGGAAGGAAAUUCCAGUUAAAUCUGUCCAUCCCCACAACCGCAGAGAAUUCAUUAGGAGAGAAGGAUACCUUGAAAGUUUCAACAAGCCCAAUAACAUCAAUGUUCUCACCUCUAACAACAUUCCUAAUUUGGUCACGGCGCCCCCUAGCGCCGAAGCCUCUAAUAUUUCAGAGUAGGUCUCUCAUUUGAAAGAAAGAUUUUUGAUACGAAGACUCGACCUGCGGGGGCAACGCAGGAUUUGACACGCUUAGAAGGGACCCGCUUAGAAGGCGGAGGUGCGGCCUGACCACUACCAGUAGCACCCACCUCCACACUCGACUACCAGUGGCGGACUUCAGCACAGCCAUCCUGGAUAGCCGGCCCUGACUCACAAGAAAAUUUAUGUAUACCAUGUGGUAAUUAGCCUAGAUAUGCAGCAAAACAAGUGCGGCCCCAACUGUUUGCUCAACAACAUCAAAUGUGAGGCAAGACUCGGGACUCAAAUAUUCCGGGUUAGUAGCACCACAUGUAACUCCAUGUAUUGUAAAACAAACUAUUAUCCUUAAUUAAUAAAUGAAUAAAAUCUUUUGUCUUCGUUUCAAUUCAGUGGAUAAAGAUAUUGCGUCAGGAAAUUAGCAAAUCAUUCUAAACCAAAUCCUAAACCCACUGCUUUUCCUUUGCCAAAAUGUAAGAGCAUCUCGAACAAACGGGCGGUGGCGCGGCGCGCUAAAUUUUUAUAGGCACCGAAAUAGCAUUUUAUGGUGCGCGGACGUUGAUAAUUUAAGUAGGCGUUGUAAAAUUUAGCGAGCUACAAUAGCGCUUCACCACACAUGGUAAAAUACACAACGUGCAUUCAGCCGUCGCUUGGCACAUAUAGAACAUCACAUAUCAAUUUUUGAUAAUUAAAACAACAUGAUCUUGAACUUUAAAAUUAGCAAAAUGAUGAGUUGAGGAACAUAGCAUAGUUCAAAUUCAUGACAUAGUUCAAAUUCUUCUAACCACAAGGUUCACACAAACGAAUGAAACAUCAAGAAUCACGCUCCAUCUUCUUCCUCCUCUUCUUCCUUGUCCUUCUCCUCCUCUUUUUCCUCCUCUUCAUCAUCUUUAAGAACCUCAGUGUCAGUGGAACCUCGGACGUCUUCGUCUGCAGGGUAGUUGCACGCCCUUUCUCUCGGUGCAUCAACCAUAGCCUCACCCUCCUCAUUCACUUCAUAUUCAUGAUAUUCUUGAUUCACUUCAUUGGUUUGAGACCAAUGAAAAUUGUUGGAGCCAACACCUAUAGGUGACAAAUAUGCGUCAUCAUUGAAACUAUAAAGUAUGGUAAAGAAAACUAAAUCAAGCUAAUAAUAUGUACACAUUUCUAGCAACAACAAAAAAAGAAAGAAUAAAAAACCUUACCUUGCGGCCAUUUCAUCGAACACCAUUUGCGCGUCGGUCGCUAGUGCACCAAAUUGCGAUGGGCUGCAGAGGAGCGGCGUGGUCUCUGAUGGGGACGCGAUGGUGGGCGCGGCCUUCUCCCCCUACCCCUCUCCCCAAUUUCCCCCUCUCCUCUAGGGUUUCGCAUCGUGUCGUCGUUGGGCUGCAGAGGAGCGACGUGGUCUCUGAUGGGGACGCGAUGGUGGGCGCGGCCUUCUCCCCCUACCGGACAUACCCUUUCUUCCAGCCUGCUAAGGGCAUGUGCAACUCUCUAGACGGCUCUGUUCAUGUCAGAUUUAGUCUGCAAUACAAACAUUUUUAUACAAUGCAUUGUCUAGUAGUUAGUAGUCUGCAUAGAGACUCUAGAAUUACAAGAAAAUGUGACCCUAUCCUUGGUGGGAAAAUGGAUAGUUGCAGACACCCAUCAUACAAGGGAGAAAUGCCGUAGUUAAGAAGAUAUUUUCAUGGUUUUAGUCGAUUGGUAAUUAUGGAGACGGACAGUUUUUUUGCUGGAGGAAUCAACAAAGCCGCGCGGGUGGGAUGGGUAGAUUCCCUUGAGGCAUUCAGUCCUACUAGUUCAUAUUUUGCUGUUGAUGUUAUUUUUGUUGUUGGUUCAUGUUGUUGUUGGUUCAUAGUGGUGCUUCAGGCUUUAGUAUCUCAUGGUUUUUGCAAACAACAGACGCAACAUUCACAUUGCUGUUGGUUCCAGGACUUAUUAGCAUAUUAGGAUCAACAAAUUACUAUUUUGCUUCUGUAUGUUACAUUGCGAUUUUUAAUUCAUGAUUGUUUUUUUGUUGCUACCUACUGUUUGUAUGUCGCACAUGUCUUUUAGUUUUUUUAGCGCGUGCAUAUUGGGGUGUUUUCUAUCUACUGUUAUGAUGCAUCAUAGGUCAUGAUUGAGUUCUUUUUUUUCUCUUUUUUGCAGUUGUUGCAGGCACCUCUGCUGAGAAUGAGGGGAGUAAGAAGGUUAAGAAGAAGAAGAUCAAGAAGAAAGAAGAUUUUUGUGGCUUCAAGAUGAGGUUUAAUUCGAAACGGCCAGGUGAUCUUGCGCAACAGUUAUCACCGGCGAAACAGGGUAUCAUUCGAAAUGGCCUAUUUGAAAAUUUGUUGGAUAUCAAGCCCUUCAAGGUACCGCAUGCACUUAUCGAGUUUAUGGUGAUGCACACAAAUCAUGCACUUCUAGAGUUCAAAUACAAGAAUAAAUCAAUCAAGUUCAGCAAAAACAUGGUGAAAAGGAUUUUCAAUGUGCCAUCCGGUGAUAGUCCUAUGAAGCUUCUCAAGAAGAGCGAUGAACAUGACCUUCGCAGUAUUUACAAGGAGGGGAAUAGAGCGCCAAUUGCCCAUGUUUUCAAGUUGCUCAGAGAUUGCAGCGAUAUGGACGAGGCUAUGAUAAGGAGAACAUGGGACCUUGUUGCGUUGGCAAUAGUUGUUUGCCCAGGCACCGGCAACAUGGUCAACCUUGAGUAUCUUCCUUCCCUUGAAAACAUGGAUUUGGUGCACAACCUUGCCUGGGAUGAGCACUUAUUGGCACGAGCUAUGGAGGAGGUUGCAGUCUUUCAAGAGAAGAAGCGGGGCCAAGCAACAAUUGAAAAUCCAAAAGAAUUUCAGAUCGGCUCAUGUCUGCCCAUGUUAGCGGUAUGCAACGUUUUCAUGAUGAAACACAUCCUUUCCUUUUCAUUGAUGCACAUACAUCUGUAUAGCUUUGCAUUCAUGAUUUUUUGUUGUUGGUUGUUAUGCAGAUUAUAUACAUGGAUCAUCUUGAUAUCCCGCCCGGCCUCCCAAAUGAGCAUGUCAUAGAUUAUUCUGUGCCAAGGAUACGUUAUGUUUGUCAAAAGGAUUUCGAUUGGGUGGAUAAAGUUGACAAGAACAAGCUUACUCUUGUCCAUCCUUUCUAUGGGAAGCACACACAAGUAUUUUUUUUCUUUAUCCCAUUUAUGUUCCUUCGUGUCAUACGUUUUUUUGUUAAUGAGCAUGUCGUAGUAAUUCAGCCUAUGGAUGCAAAGUAUGUAUGUAGCAAUUAGGAUGCAGCAUGUAGCAAAUUAAUAUGCUGGCUGUAGCAAAUGAACAAUAUGGAUGCAACAUGUAGCAAAUGAACAUUAUGGUUGUAGAAAAUUAACAAUAUGGAUGCAACAAUUAGGAUGCAGCAUGUAGCAAAUUAACAUUAUGGAUGCAGCAAAUGAACCAUAUGGAUGCAACAAUUAGGAUGUAGCAUGUAGCAAAUUAACAUUAUGGAUGCAACAAAUGAACCAUAUGGAUGAAACAAUUAGGAUGCAGCAUGUAGCAAAUUAACAUUAUGGAUGCAACAAAUGAACCAUAUGGAUGCAACAAUUAGGAUGCAGCAUGUAGCAAAUUAACAUUAUGGUUGCAACAAUUAGGAUGCAGCAUAUAGCAAAUUAACAUUAUGGAUGCAGCAAAUGAACAAUAUGGAUGCAACAAUUAGGAUGCAGCAUGUAGCAAAUUAACAUUAUGGAUGCAGCAAAUGAACCAUAUGGAUGCAACAUGUAGCAACUGUCAGUUUCAGAUUUUUUUGUUGCUAGCUACUUUUUGUAUGUUGCACAUGUUUUCACUUUUUUUAGCGUGUGCAUAUGUGUGUUUUAUAGCUGCUGUUUUUGACCACAUCACAGGUUUUGGUUCCAUCUCAUGCAUACCAACCAACUUUUAUUUCUCCCUCAUGAUUUUUGUUUCUUUUUGUUCCUAGUUUCGGACUCUGUGCAACACUCCGUAUGCUGAGGUUAUUGGUCCAGAAGUUGAUCGUGAAGCAGCCACCGGGCAGGGCGCUAGUGCUGAAGCAGCUAAUGGCCAAGGAAGCCAAAAUGAAGUACCUGAAGCUCAAGAAAAUGUUGAGGUCCUACCAAAUUUAUCCUCAUCGUUCGAUGAUUGGCUUCAACAACCGUUCCCUAGCAUGGAUGAUCUAAAGGUACCUUUUUCUACAAAAGUUGCAUGCAUUAUUUUUUUUGUUUUAAAGAUACAUGUAAAAUGACUAAUUUUUGAAAUACGUGCCUUCUUGUAGGUACCAGCUCAGUUCCAAACAUUGUAUGACAAGCACAAGGAAAAUUUCUCAAUCGAGGUUGAUGAUGCAAUACGCAAGCUUGGGCAAAGUUUAAAGCGAUUGCAAUCCAGUCGGAUGGCCUCUAUGCUUCGUGACGUGGGAGAUGCCAUCGCUAAUACCACAGAUGAAGCUCUGGAGAAAGCUAAGGAUGCUCAAGAUGAAGCUGCAACACCUACCAUGGACGAGGCUCGUGAGAAAGAGAAGGAUGCUCAAGAUGAAGCUGAAGCUGUGCUACUGCGACAACAUACCUUCCCUAGCAACGGCGCCAGGAAUCCUGCUGCUACGGCUACACCUAUAGGGACUUCCUUGGCAAAUAUGCAAAGGAUUUCCCCGCGGCCCUGGAGCCUUGCGUUGGUGUUCCCUUGAAGAGGAAAGGGUGAUGUAGCACAACUGCGGUAAGUAUUUCCCUCAGUUUGAGAACCAAGGUAUCAAUCCAGUAGGAGGAGCGUUCAAGUACCUACACAAACAUAAAGAGCUUGCACCCAACGCUAUGAAGGGGUUGUCAAUCCCUUAUAGAUUGUUUGCAAAGUGAGAACUGAAAGCAAGGAGUAAACAAAGCAAAGUAAAAGUGAAAGUGGAAACGAUAGUUGUGAAUAGACCCGGGGGCCGUAGUGUUCACUAGUGGCUUCUCUCAUGAAAGCAAGUAAACGGUGGGUGAACGAAUUACUAUCGAGCAAUUGAUAGAACCGCGCAAAGUCGUGACGUUAUCUAAGGCAAUGAUUAUAUCUAUAGGCAUCACGUCCAAAACAAGUAGACCGAUACUUUCUGCAUCUACUACUAUUACUCCACACGUCGACCGCUAUCUAGCAUGCAUCUAGUGUAUUAAGUCCAAAAGAACAGAGUAACACCUUAAGCAAGAUGACAUGAUGUAGAUGGACAAUCUCAUAUCUACGAUAAAAUCUCAUCUUGUUACCCUUGAUGGCAACAACACGAUGCGUGCCUUGCUGCCCCUUCUGUCACUGGGAAAGGUCACCACACGGUAUGAACCCAAAAACAAGCACUUAUCCCAUUGCAAGAAUCAUAGAUCUAGUUGGCCAAACAAAACCCAUGACUCGGAGAGACUUACAAGGAUAUCAAAUCAUGCAUAUAAGAAAUCAGCAAAGACUCAAAUAUAAUUCAUAGAUAAUCUGAUCACAAAUCCACAAUUCAUCGGAUCUCAACAAACACACCGCCAAAGAGGAUUACAUCGGAUAGAUCUCCAUGAAGAUCAUGGGGAACUUUGUAUUGAAGAUCCAAGAGAGAGAAGAAGCCAUCUAGCUACUAACUACGGACCCGUAGGUCUGAAGUGGACUACUCACGAGUCAUUGGAGAGGCGAUGAUGUUGAUGUAGAAGCCCUCCAACUCCAAUGUCCUCUCCGGCAGGGCACCGGGAAGGGUCUCCAGAUGAGAUCUCGCGGAAACGGAAGCUUGCGGCGGCGGAAAAGUGUUUUCGUGGAUGCCCUGAUUUUUUCUGGGAUUUUAGGGAAUUUAUAGGCCAAAGAGCUAGGGCAGGGGAGCGCCAGGGAGGCCACAAGCUUGGUUGCCACAGGCCCCCCUGGCCGCGGCAACAGGGCUUGUGGGCUUCCUGUGGGCCCACUGCCUUGGCCCUCAAUCCUCCCGAUCUUCUUCCGUUCUCGAAAAAUUUAUUUCGGGAAUUUUAUUCCGUUUGGACUCCGUUCCAAAAUCAGAUAUGAAAAGAGUCAAAAACACAAAAAAAACAGGAACUGACACUUGACACUUGAUUAAUAAGUUCGUCCCAAAAAAAUAUAUAAAAGGUAAACAAAACAUCCAAAGUUGACAAGAUAACAGCGUAAAACCAUCAAAAAUUAUAGAUACGUUUGAGACGUAUCAAGCAUCCCCAAGCUUAACUCCUGCUUGUCCUCGAGUAGGGAAGUGAUAAAGAAUGAAUUUUUGAUGCUUUCAUGCUACCUAGCAUAUAUGUCCUUUGUAACUCCUCUUAUGUGACGUGAAUGUUCAAAUCCAUUAGAUUCAAAACAAUAGUUUGCUAUUGACGCGGAGACAAUAAUAAUUCAAGCAAAAUAGCAAGGUAAUCAUGAACUUUGAAAAUAACAAGGCCAAAAGAAAGUUAUCCCUACAAAAUCAUAUAGUCUGGCUAUGCUCUAUCAUCCUUGCACAACGAAUUUAAAUCAUGCACAACGCCGGUAUUGGCCAAGUAACUAUUUUCACACCUUUACUUUCUCAAACUUUUUCGACUGCAAUACAUGAGCGUGAGCCAUAGUUUUAGCACUAUAAGUGGUGUGGAGUGUGGUGGAGGUUGCAAGGCGAACAAGGAGAAGAUGGUCACAUUGACUAGGCAUAUCAAUGAGCUAUGGAGAUGCUCAUCAAUAGAUAUCAACGUGAAUGAGUAGGGAUUGCCAUACAAAUGAUGCACUACAGCUAAGAGUAUGUGAAAGCUCUUAAAGAAAACUAGUGGGUGUGCAUCCAACUUGCUUGCUCACGAAGACCUAAGGCAAUUUUGAGGAAGCCUAUCAUUGGAAUAUACAAGCCAAGUUAUAUAAUGAAAAUUUCCCAUUAGCUAUAUGGUGGUGACAAAACGAGAGACUCUCAAUCAUGAAGAUCAUGGUGCUUAAUAUGCACAAGUGUGGAAAGGUGGUAGCAUUGUCCCUUCUCUCUUUUUAUCUCAUUUUUUUGGUGGGCUCUUUGGCCUCUUUUUUUUGGUGGGCAUAUUUGGCCUCUUUUAUUUCCUCACAUGGGACAAUGUUCCAUCAAUGAUGAUCAUCACACUUACAACUCAAAACUUAGAGCAAUUAUGACUCUAUAUGGAAUGCCUUCGGUAGUGUAUCGUGACAAUGAUCUAGCAUGGCAUAGACAUCAAUGGAAACAUCAUGCUAGCUAUCUUACGAUCAUGCAAUGGCAAUGUAGAAGUGGUGGCACAUGUCAUGGUGGUAGUCGUAUGGCAAUAUAUCUCGGAAUAGCUUUGAAAAAGCCAUAGUAGGUAGGUAUGGUGGCUGUUUUGAGGGAUCCUAUAUGGGUGGUUUUGUGCACCGGCGAAAGUUGCACGGCACUAAAGAAGAUAGUGAUGGUCGAAGGUGAAAGUGCAUCUAAACCAUGGACUCAACAUUAGUCGUGAAGAACUCAUAUACUUGUUGCAAAAGUUUUAGUAGUAAUUGAAACAAAGCAUUCAACGCAUACUCCUAGGGGAAGGGUUGGUAGGUAUAAACCAUCGUGGGAUCCCGACCGCCACACAAAGGAUGACAAUCAAUAGACUAAUCAUGCUCAGACUUCAUCACAUAGCGGUUCACCAUACGUGCAUGCUACGGGAAUCACUAACUUCAACACAAGUAUUUCUAGAUCCACAACACCUUACUAAUAUAACUUCAAUAUUACCACAACCACAACUCAAAACUAAUUGAGAUGAAUCAAAUUUCUCUAACUAUUGAAUGCACAUGAAGGUGGAAGUUUUCAUAUCCCUUUGGAUAACUACCCCUUUUGAGACUACUAUCAUAGUGAAAGUGCAGUCAUGCCCUUAAUCGUGUUUUGGUAUUAAUGACAACGCACAUAUAGAUAACUAAUCACUAAUCCCCUUUAAGCUAUUGUGAAUGAUCAUGUGUUGAUAAGGACAAGCUCAUGUGCUAACAAGGACAAGAUCAAGAUAAGCAUUCCUCAGCACUACAUGCUUGACUCUUGUGGAUGUUCACAUGGUGGACAAAUGAAGAUGAAUAUAUAAGCUAGGCUUUCCACAUUGUGUAUGGGAGAGCUACUUGAAGACUUCAUCAUGUCUUGCUUUCGACAUUGAGCCAUGAAGGAACAACAACAUCAAGCUCAAGUGAAAGGGCUAACUCAAGGUAUCAGUUCCUUUGAAGUUAGCGGUGCGGAGUGAUGAUCAGCGAAUAAAGUAUACACUCAAGUAUGGAUCAUCGGUACCCCUUUUACAAUUCUUGAGUCUUUAGGGAUCCCGCACUAUUAAGAGGGGAUCACAGGUUUUGUGAUGAACUUGCUCAAACUACAUCUUCACUAUUCUGCUCAAUACCACAUAUUCUCUACUCUGCUCCUAUCUCAAAACAGGUCUAAUGCCUCGGACUUCCGGCUCCCUCCGGACGACCGAGGGCCGGUCGAGGGUCGGACGACCGACACGCUUUGGAAAUCCGGAGCCCCGCACCAGAAGAACUUAAGCCAUAUAACUCGGAUUUCCGGCUCCCUCCAGACAUCCGAGGGCCGGUCGACCGACCAGCUUCGAAAAUCCGGAGCCCUGCACGAGAAGAACGUGAGCCAUAUAACUCGGACUUCCGGCUCCCUCCGGACGUCCGAGGGCCGGACGUCCGUCCCCUUUCGGAAAUCCGGAACCUUGCACCAGAAGAAGUUGAGUCGAAUAACUCGGACUUCCCGCCUUCUCCGGACGUCCGGUCCGUGUUCAACUCACAGUGUUCCCAGACAUAUCUACAGCCCUCGGACGACCGACUCCUGUCGGACGUCCGACCCCUUGUGGACGCCCAGACUUCCGUAAACUGCCGGACGUCCGAAUCCUGUGUGACUUAAAGUGUCCCCAACGGCUGUUUUACACUCCCCACUAUAUAUACCCCCUCCCACUUCGUGAGAGGGUGCCCAACACAGCCUUAUCCUCAUAAGAACGCAUUUUUACCUCACACACAUUUGCUCAUACCAAAUCUUGGAUCCCAAGAGCAUUUGUGAGCCCCUUUGAGAGUUGUUCCAAUCAAAAGAUAGAUCGUCUCCCUCUCCUCCUCUCAACCCAAGCUAUUUGAGAUUUGAGCAAGUUUUGAGCAUUCCCCGUGAUCUUGUUACUCUUGGAGGUUGGAGACUCCUAAGCGGUAGGAUUCUUCGGAGAGGAAUCAAUCCGUGUGAUUACCACCGGAAAAGUUUGUGAGGGUUUGGAAGCCACCUCAAAGGCUUACCACUAGUGGUUGAGAAACACCUUCGUGGUGUUAUCUCAAAGGGAGAAUAGGGUGAGCCUUCGUGGCGUUGGUGUGCCUUCGUGGUAACAUCCACCUCUCUAACGGUGACUAGCUUCCCUCCAAGGAAUUGAACAUCGGGAUACAUCUUCGUCUCAAUGACCUUGGUUAUCCUUAACCCUAACUGCUGUUGAAAAUAUGCCCUAGAGGCAAUAAUAAAAUGGUUAUUAUCAUAUUUCCUUGUUCAUGAUAAUCGUUUAUCGUUCAUGCUAUAAUUGUAUUAACAGGAAACAGUAAUACAUGUGUGAAUGAAUAGAUCACAAUGUGUCCGUAGCAAGCCUCUAGUUGGCUAGCUCGUUAGUCAAUAGAUGAUCAUGGUUUCCUGAUCAUGGACAUUGGAUGUCAUUAAUAACGGGAUCACAUCAUUUGGAGAAUGAUGUGGUGGACAAGACCCAAUCCUAAGCCUAGCACUAGAUCGUAUUGUUCGUAUGUUAAUGCUUUUCUAAUGUCAAGUAUCUUUUCCUUCGACCGUGAGAUUGUGCAACUCCCGGAUACCGUAGGAGUGCUUUGGGUGUAUCAAACGUCACAACGUAACUGGGUGACUAUAAAGGUGCACUACGGGUAGCUCCGAAAGUGUCUGUUGGGUUGGCACGAAUCGAGAUCGGGAUUUGUCACUCCGUGUGACGGAGAGGUAUCUCUGGGCCCACUCGGUAGAACAUCAUCAUGAGCUCAAUGUGACUAAGGAGUUAGUCACACGAUGACGUGCUACGGAACGAGUAAAGAGACUUACCGGUAACGAGAUUGAACAAGGUAUAGGUAUACCGACGAUCGAAUCUCGGGCAAGUUCUAUACCAACAGACAAAGGUAAUCGUAUACGGGAUUGAUUGAAUCCUUGACAUCGUGGUUCAUCCGAUGAGAUCAUCGUGGAGAUAGUGGGAGCCACCAUGGGUAUCCAGACCCCGCUGAUGGUUAUUGGCCAGAGAGGUGUCUCGGUCAUGUCUGCCUGUCUCCCGAACCCAUAGGGUCUACACACUUAAGGUUCGAUGACGCUAGGGUUAUAGGGAAUUGUUGUACGAGGUUACCGAUAGUUAUUCGGAGUCCCGGAUGAGAUCCCGGACGUCACGAGGAGCUCCGGAAUGGUCCGGAGGUAAAGAUUGAUAUAUAGGACGGAUGGUUUCGGACACCGGAAGUGUUUCGGGCAUCACCGGUAACGUACCGGGACCACCGGGACCACCGAAGGGGGGUGACGACCCCGGGAGGCUAGAUGGGCUAAGUGGGGAAGGGAACCAGCCCCUAAGUGGGCUGGUGCGCCCCCCACCCAGCCCAUGUGCACCAGAAAAAAGGGGAAGGGGGAACCCUAACUAAGGUGGGCCUUAGGCCCACCAGAGGGGUGCGCCACCCCUCCUCCUUGCCCUGGCCGCCACUCCCCCCAUCUGGGAGGGCUGCCGCACCCCCUAGGGUGGGAACCCUAGGGGUGGCAACCCCUCUCCCCUUCCCCUAUAUAUAGUGGGCACUUUUGGCCUUUGGAGGACACGGUUUUCCCUCUCCCUCGGCGCAGCCCUGCACUUCUUCCUCCUCCUCUCUGCCGGCGCUUGGCGAAGCCCUGCCGGGAGACCUCGUCUCUCCACCAACACCACGCCGUCGUGUUGCUGGUCUUCUUCCCCAACCUCUCCCUCCUCCUUGCUGGAUCAAGGUGCGGGAGACGUCACCGGGCUGCACGUGUGUUGAACGCGGAGGUGCCGUUGUUCGGCACUAGAUCGGAAUCGCUGCGAGUACGACUCCAUCAACCGCGUUCUAGCAACGCUUCCGCUUAGCGAUCUUCAAAGGUACGAAGAUGCUCUUACCCCUCUCUCGUUGCUGGUCUCUCCAUAGGAAGAUCUGAACAUGCGUAGGAUUUUUUUUGAAUUUAUGCUACGUUACCCAACAGUGGUAUCAGAGCCAGGUUUUCUAUGCGUAGAUUCUAUGCACGAGUAGAACACAAAAGUUGUGGGCGAUGGUUUGUCGAUUUGCUUGCCGUUACUAGUCUUAUUCUUUUCCGGCGGUAUUGUGGGAUGAAGCGGCCCGGACCGACCUUACACGUACGCUUACGUGAGACUGGUUCCACCGACAGACAUGCACAUCGUGCAUAAAGGUGGCUAGCGGGUGUCUGUCUCUCCUACUCUAGUCGGAUUGGAUUUGAUGAAAAGGGUCCUUAUGAAGGGUAAAUAGCUUUGGCAUAUCAUCGUUGUGGCUGUCACGUAGGUAAGAAGGCGUUCUUGCUAGAAACCCAAAUCAGCCACGUAAAACUUGCAACAACAAUUAGAGGACGUCUAACUUGUUUUUGCAGGGUUUGACAUGUGAUGUGAUAUGGCCAAAGUUGUGGUGUUGCAUGUAUGAUGUAUGAGAUGAUCAUGUUAUUGUAAUAGGUUUCACGACUUGCAUGUCGAUGAGUAUGACAACCGGCAGGAGCCAUAGGAGUUGUCUUAAUUUAUUGUAUGAGAUGCAACGCCAUGUGCUUACUAUUUUACUUCAUUGCUAACGGUUAGCCAUAGUAGUAGUGAUAGUAGUAGUUGGCGUGACGACUUCACGGAGACACGAUGAUGGAGAUCAUGGUGUCACGCCAGUGACAAUGAUGAUCAUGCGAUGCCUGAAGAUGGAGAUCGAAAGAGCAAAGAUGAUAAUGGCCAUAUCAUGUCACUAUAUGAUUGCAUUGUGAUGUUUAUCAUGUUUUAUAUCUUAUUGCUUUAAACAACGGUAGCAUAAUAAGAUGAUCCCUCUUAAAAUUUCGAGAACGUAUUCCCCUAAGUGUGCACCGUUGCGAAGGUUCGUUGUCUCGAAGCACCACGUGAUGAUCGGGUGUGAUAGAUUCUAACGUUCGCAUACAACGGGUGUAAGCCAGAUUUACACACGCGAAACACCUAGGUUGACUCGACGAGCUUAGCAUGUACAGACAUGACCUCGAAUACAAGAGACCGAAAGGUCGAACAUGAGUCGUAUGGUUGAAUACGAUCAGCAUGGAGUUGCUCACCAUGGUGACUAGUCCGUCUCACGUGAUGAUCGGACACGGGUUAGUCAACAUGGAUCAUGUAUCACUUAGAUGACUAGAGGGAUGUCGAUUUAAGUGGGAGUUCAUACUUAAUUUGAUUAAAUGAACUUAAUUGUCAUGAACUUAGUCUAAAAGUUGUCUUUACAAAUAUUGUAGAUGUCCAACGUCAACCUCAACUUCAACGCAUUCCUAGAGAAAAACAAGCUGAAAGAUGAUGGUAACAACUAUGCGGACUGGGUUCGCAACCUGAAGCUCAUCCUUGAAGCAGCUAAAAAGGCUUAUGUACUUAAUGCGCCGCUAGGUGACCCUCCCUCUCCCGCAGCAGCCCAGGACAUUCUAAACGUCUGGCAAGCGCGGAGUGAUGACUACUCUCUGGUCAGGUGUGGCAUGUUAUACAGUUUAGAAACGGGGCUCCAAAGACGUUUUGAGCAACACGGGGCAUAUGAGAUGUUCCAAGAGCUGAAGCUAGUUUUUCAAGCUCAUGCCCGUGUCGAGAGAUAUGAAGUCUCCGACAAGUUCUUCAGCUGUAAGAUGGAGGAGAACAGUUCUGUCAGUGAGCACAUACUCAAAAUGUCUGGGUUACACGGUCGUCUGACUUCACUUGGAGUCGAACUUCCGGAUGAUGCUAUCAUUGACAGAAUCCUCCAGUCUCUCCCACCAAGCUACAAAGGCUUUGUGCUUAACUACAACAUGCAAGGGAUGGAGAAAACCAUUCCCGAGUUGUACUCGGUGCUCAAGUCUGCAGAAGUAGAAAUCAAGAAGGAGCAUCAAGUGUUGAUGGUCAACAAGACCACUAGUUUCAAGAAAGGCAAGGGUAAGAAGAACUUCAAGAAAGACGGCAAAGCUGUUGCCGCGCCCGGUAAGCCAGAUGCCGGGAAGAAGAAAAAGAACGGACCCAAGCCUGAGACUGAGUGCUUCUACUGCAAGGGAAAAGGUCACUGGAAGCGGAACUGCCCCAAAUACUUAGCGGACAAGAAGGCCGACAACGUUAAAGGUAUAUGUGAUAUACAUGUUAUUGAUGUGUACCUUACCAGCGCUCGUAGUAGCUCCUGGGUAUUUGAUACCGGUGCUGUUGCUCACAUUUGCAACUCAAAGCAGGAACUGCGGAAUAAGCGGAGACUGGCCAAGGACGAGGUGACGAUGCGCGUCGGGAAUGGUUCAAAGGUCGAUGUGAUCGCCGUCGGCACGCUACCUCUACAUCUACCGUCGGGAUUAGUUUUAAACCUUAAUAACUGUUAUUUAGUACCAACUUUAAGCAUGAACAUUGUAUGAGGGUCUUGCUUAAUGCGAGACGGCUACUCAUUUAAGUCAGAUAAUAAUGGUUGUUCUAUUUAUAUGAGUGAUAUGUUUUAUGGUCAUGCUCCGCUGGUGAAUGGUUUAUUCUUGAUGAAUCUCGAUCGUGAUGUUACACAUAUUCAUAGUGUGAGUACCAAAAGAUGCAAAGUUGAUAAUGAUAGUCCCACAUACUUGUGGCACUGCCGCCUUGGUCAUAUCGGCGUUAAGCGCAUGAAGAAGCUCCAUACUAAUGGACUGCUAGAGUCUCUUGACUUUGAAUCAUUUGACACAUGCGAACCGUGCCUCAUGGGCAAGAUGACUAAGACUCCAUUCUCAGGAAUAAUGGAGAGAGCAACCGACUUAUUGGAAAUAAUACAUACUGAUGUGUGUGGUCCAAUGAACGUUGAAGCUCGCGGUGGUUAUCGUUAUGUUCUCACUCUCACCGAUGAUUUGAGCAGGUAUGGGUAUAUCUACUUGAUGAAGCACAAAUCUGAGACGUUUGAAAAGUUCAAGGAAUUUCAGAGUGAGGUUGAGAAUCAACGUGACAGAAAAAUUAAAUGUCUACGAUCUGAUCGUGGAGGAGAAUAUUUGAGUCACGAAUUUGGCACACACCUAAGGAAGUGUCGAAUCGUUUCACAACUGACGCCGCCUGGCACACCGCAGCGCAACGGAGUGUCUGAACGUCGUAAUCACACUUUAUUAGAUAUGGUACGAUCUAUGAUGUCUCUCACCGACUUACCGCUAUCAUUUUGGGGAUACGCAUUAGAAACUGCAACGUUCACUUUAAAUAGGGCACCGUCUAAAUCCGUUGAGACGACACCGUAUGAACUGUGGUUUGGCAAGAAACCUAAUUUGUCGUUUCUUAAAGUUUGGGGCGGCGAUGCUUAUGUGAAGAAACUUCAACCAGAAAAGCUCGAACCCAAAGCGGAGAAAUGCGUAUUCAUAGGAUACCCUAAGGAAACUAUUGGGUAUACCUUCUAUCUUAGAUCCGAAGUAAAACCUUUGUUGCCAAGAACGGAUCCUUUCUAUAGAAAGAGUUUCUCUCGAAAGAAGUAAGUGGGAGGAAGGUAGAACUUGAUGAGGUAAUUACACCCCCUCUCGAACAGGAAAGUAGCGCAGCGCAAGAAGUUGUUCCUGUGGUGCCUACACCGACUGAAGAGGAAGUUAAUGAUGAUGAUCAUGAAGCUUCGGAUCAAGUUACUACUGAACCGCGAAGGUCCACAAGGGUACGCUCCGCACCAGAGUGGUACGGCAACCCUGUGAUGGAAAUCAUGUUGUUAGACAACGGUGAACCUUCGAACUAUGAAGAAGCGAUGGCGGGCCCGGAUUCCAACAAAUGGCUUGAGGCCAUGAAAUCCGAGAUAGGAUCCAUGUAUGAGAACAAAGUAUGGACUUUGGUGGACUUGCCCGAUGACCGGCGAGCCAUAGAAAAUAAAUGGAUCUUCAAGAAGAAGACUGAUGCAAACGGUAAUGUAACCGUUUACAAAGCUCGACUUGUCGCAAAGGGUUUUCGACAGAUUCAAGGAGUUGACUACAAAGAGACUUUCUCUCCCGUAGCGAAGCUGAAAUCAGUCCGAAUCAUGUUAGCAAUUGCCGCCUUUUAUGAUUAUGAAAUUUGGCAAAUGGACGUCAAAACGGCGUUCCUUAACGGGAACCUUAAGGAAGAGUUGUAUAUGAUGCAACCAGAAGGUUUUGUCGACCCUAAGGGUGCUAACAAAGUAUGCAAGCUCCAGCGCUCCAUCUAUGGGCUGGUGCAAGCAUCUCGGAGUUGGAACAUUCGCUUUAAUGAAGUGAUUAAAGCGUUUGGGUUCAUACAGGUUUACGGAGAAGCCUGUCUGUACAAGAAAGUGAGUGGGAGCUCUGUAGCUUUCCUCGUACUAUAUGUGGAUGCCAUAUUAUUGAUGGGGAAUGAUAUAGAGAUGUUGGAGAGCAUAAAGGCCUAUUUGAACAAGAGUUUUUCAAUGAAGGACCUUGGAGAAGAUGCAUACAUAUUAGGCAUCAAGAUCUAUAGAGAUAGAUCGAGACGCCUCAUAGGUCUUUCGCAAAGUACAUACCUUGACAAGAUAUUGAAGAAGUUCAAUAUGGAAAACUCAAAGAAAGGGCUCUUGCCAGUUUUGCAAGGUAUGAGAUUGAGUAAGACUCAGUCGCCGACCACAGCAGCAGAUAGAGAGAAGAUGAGUUCUGUCCCCUACGCUUCAGCCGUGGGCUCUCUAAUGUAUGCCAUGCUGUGUACCAGACCUGAUAUAAACCUUGCCAUAAGCUUGGUAGGGAGGUACCAAAGUAAUCCCGGUGCGGAACACUGGACAGCGGUCAAGAAUAUCCUUAAGUAUCUGAAAAGGACUAAGGAAAUGUUUCUCGUUUAUGGAGGUGACGAAGAGCUCGUCGUAAAGGGUUACGUCGACGCUAGCUUCGACACAGAUCCGGAUGACUCUAAGUCACAAACCGGAUACGUAUAUGUGUUGAAUGGUGGGGCAGUGAGCUGGUGCAGCAGCAAGCAAGAAGUCGCGGCAGCAUCUACAUGUGAAGCGGAGUACAUAGCUGCUUCAGAAGCGGCUCAUGAAGGAAUUUGGAUGAAGGAGCUCAUCACCGACCUUGGAGUGGUUCCAAGCGCGUCGGGUCCUAUGACACUCUUCUGUGAUAACACUGGAGCCAUUGCCAUAGCCAAAGAGCCCAGGUUCCACCGGAAGACGAAGCACAUCAAACGCGCUACAACUCCAUCCAGGACCAUGUCCAGAGUGGAGUGAUAGAUAUUUGUAAAGUACACACAGAUCUGAAUAUAGCAGACCCGUUGACUAAACCUCUUCCACGAGCAAAACAUGAUCAACACCAUAAUGCUAUGGGUGUUCGAUACAUCACAAUGUAACUAGAUUAUUGACUCUAGUGCAAGUGGGAGACUGUUUAAAAUAUGCCCUAGAGGCAAUAAUAAAAUGGUUAUUAUCAUAUUUCCUUGUUCAUGAUAAUCGUCUAUCGUUCAUGCUAUAAUUGUAUUAACAGGAAAUAGUAAUACACGUGUGAAUGAAUAGAUCACAAUGUGUCCCUAGCAAGCCUCUAGUUGGCUAGCUCGUUAGUCAAUAGAUGAUCAUGGUUUCCUGAUCAUGGACAUUGGAUGUCAUUGAUAACGGGAUCACAUCAUUGGGAGAAUGAUGUGGUGGACAAGACCCAAUCCUAAGCCUAGCACUAGAUCGUAUUGUUCGUAUGCUAAUGCUUUUCUAAUGUCAAGUAUCUUUUCCUUCGACCAUGAGAUUGUGCAACUCCCGGAUACUGUAGGAGUGCUUUGGGUGUAUCAAACGUCACAACGUAACUGGGUGACUAUAAAGGUGCACUACGGGUACCUCCGAAAGUGUCUGUUGGGUUGGCACGAAUCGAGAUCGGGAUUUGUCACUCCGUGUGACGGAGAGGUAUCUCUGGGCCCACUCGGUAGAACAUCAUCAUGAGCUCAAUGUGACUAAGGAGUUAGUCACACGAUGACGUGCUACGGAACGAGUAAAGAGACUUACCGGUAACGAGAUUGAACAAGGUAUAGGUAUACCGACGAUCGAAUCUCGGGCAAGUUCUAUACCGACAGACAAAGGUAAUCGUAUACGGGAUUGAUUGAAUCCUUGACAUCGUGGUUCAUCCGAUGAGAUCAUCGUGGAGAUAGUGGGAGCCACCAUGGGUAUCCAGACCCCGCCGAUGGUUAUUGGCCAGAGAGGUGUCUCGGUCAUGUCUGCCUGUCUCCCGAACCCAUAGGGUCUACACACUUAAGGUUCGAUGACGCUAGGGUUAUAGGGAAUUGUUGUACGAGGUUACCGAUAGUUAUUCGGAGUCCCGUAUGAGAUCUCGGACGUCACGAGGAGCUCCGGAAUGGUCUGGAGGUAAAGAUUGAUAUAUAGGACGGAUGGUUUCGGACACCGGAAGUGUUUCGGGCAUCACCGGUAACGUACCGGGACCACCGAAGGGGGGUGACGACCCCGGGAGGCUAGAUGGGCUAAGUGGGGAAGGGAACCAGCCCCUAAGUGGGCUGGUGCGCCCCCCACCCAGCCCAUGUGCACUAGAAAAAAGGGGAAGGGGGAACCCUAACUAAGGUGGGCCUUAGGCCCACCAGAGGGGUGCGCCACCCCUCCUCCUUGCCCUGGCCGCCACUCCCCCCAUCUGGGAGGGCUGCCGCACCCCCUAGGGUGGGAACCCUAGGGGUGGCAACCCCUCUCCCCUUCCCCUAUAUAUAGUGGGCACUUUUGGCCUUUGGAGGACACGGUUUUCCCUCUCCCUCGGCGCAGCCCUGCACUUCUUCCUCCUCCUCUCUGCCGGCGCUUGGCGAAGCCCUGCCGGGAGACCUCGUCUCUCCACCAACACCACGCCGUCGUGUUGCUGGUCUUCUUCCCCAACCUCUCCCUCCUCCUUGCUGGAUCAAGGUGCGGGAGACGUCACCGGGCUGCACGUGUGUUGAACGCGGAGGUGCCGUUGUUCGGCACUAGAUCGGAAUCGCUGCGAGUACGACUCCAUCAACCGCGUUCUAGCAACGCUUCCGCUUAGCGAUCUUCAAAGGUACGAAGAUGCUCUUACCCCUCUCUCGUUGCUGGUCUCUCCAUAGGAAGAUCUGAACAUGCGUAGGUUUUUUUUUGAAUUUAUGCUACGUUACCCAACAACUACUUACUUGUGGUUUACUUGUGUUACUUGAGCAUACAUACAUUGCAUAUUGGUUGUGCUCAUUAUAUUGUGUUGGCCAUUUCUUGUACAAGAUUAAUCAUUCAAGCAUACCCUCUAUAUCCACAUGUUCACACUUGCAGCUUUUGAUAUAUCGUGUGCUAUAGUGUGAUCUAGUAUCUUGUGUCGUUCACCUACUUGUCGUGUGAUAUAGCUCAAGUAAGUUUGUGUAACUUACUUGUGCUUAUUAGUAACUGUGUUGUGUCCAUCUUGGUAGAUCAUGUUGUUGAUACAUGUUGCAGUGCCUAGUGCAUUUAGGAUUUGUGCUUGACAAGUAUCCUCUUAGUUUAUUUCCGCAUUAGGUUUAAGUCAAAUCCAAAGAAGUUUUUAAAUAGCCUAUUCACCCCCCUCUAGGCGUCAUCGAGGUGUUUUCAAUUGGUAUCAGAGCAAGAUCUCUCUUUAAUUAGGUUUCACGACCUAGAGAGUAUCGAUGUCGACUAUUGGAUUAGUGCACAAUGACACCUUUGACUUUGAUGGCACAAAUUAUACCCUAUGGAGAAUUUGUAUGCUUCAUCACUUUCGGGCCAUGGGCCCAAAUACUUUACGAAUUGUUCUUGUAGGGAUUGCUGACGAAAAGGAUGAUUCAUCUUCAUCUACUAAUGAAAUGUGUCUUGAUUGUGAGGCUUUUCUUGCCAUUCAUGAACCAUAAGUCCUGAAGUGUUUAAGUCUAUCUCGACUUGCAAGUCAGCUCAUGAAGUUUGGACUAAACUUGAAGAUAUAUAUGGUGGGUCCAAUCUUGAUGAAGACGAUAUUAUGAUGAAGGAGUUGGUGCAUGAGCUCUUCACUCUUUUUGAUCAUAAAGAGUCCACCACUACUUCCAUAUCCGAUUGCUUGCACACCUCAGCAUCUUCAAUCUCACAAGGUAACGAUAUGGUGAGUGAAGAAAUACAUGUUGAUGAAAAUGUCAUAGCCUCCAUGGACAUGAGCAUAUCUAGCACCACACAUGGUGUAAUUAUUGUGCUGAUAGAUCAUGCAUUUCACCUAAAGAUCCCUCGACAAAUGUCUGUGGUGAUAUGCCUGCUUUCCCGUGUCCUCUUGAUCAAAAUAUCCUGUUUCUCCCUAGUUUUUCUAUGACUAAUCAUUUAAAGGAAACCAAGAAAUAUGAAGUACUUUUGACUAAUGAAGAAUCUGAUUCACCAAAAGAAACAUCAUCAACUCCUCCAGUUCACAUGUGCCUCAUGGCAAGAGGUAAUAAUGAGGUAUCAUCUUCCCUGUGCAAUAAAGAUGAUACUUGCGAUGAGGAUGAUGAUGAUGACUUGACUGAAAACAUCUAUGUGAUUAGUAAAAUUCUUCAUAAAGCUAAAAAUAACGCUCUUCAAAGAUUCCAAGAUAUUCUUGCUUACUUUGAAAAUUGUAAUGAUUCACUUAAUCAUGAACAAGCUAAAAGUGAACAACUUGAACAUGAACUUGAGAAGAGUCACCAAGCAUGUAGAGACUUAAGAUCUUCAAAAGGAGAGAUUGAAGUUGCUCAUGAUAAACUUAAAAAGGAUUUGGAGGUCCUUCUCCUUGAAUGCAAGAAUGUCAAGGGAGAGCUCAUCAAAACCUCUAAGAUCUAUGAGGAGCUUCAAUCUACUCAUGAGAAGUCUCUAAUCGCUACUUACUCCUCUCAUAUUGUUGAUGAUACUUGUAUACCUAACCCUAUCUCUUUUGAAGUAUCAACAUAGAAGGAGAAUGUUGAGCUACAUGCUCAAUUUGAUUUACUAACUAGCAAUUAUGGGAAGUUGGAAGAAAACCAUGCAAUGCUCACAAGCUCUCAUGCCGGUCUUCUAACAUCCCAUAAUGUGCAAAAGUUAGCUCAUGAGGCUAUCAUCACCAAGGUAACAUCAAGUGAGCCUCAUGUGGACAAUGGCACCACUUCCUGUGUGAUGAAUUACUUUCCUUGCCUUGUUGCUCUAACAUUGAAACUUACACUUCCUCUAGUACUUGCAUUGACACUAAUCGUGCAUAGGAAAUCGAAGAGCUCAAGGCCCAACUCACUUCUUUGAAGAAAGACUUGGAACAGUGUCAUGAAGGGAUGUCCACACUCAACAACGUCCUGUGUGAGCAAACAUCUUUGAAUGACAAAAAUGAUGUUGGAGUAAACUCAAACAAGAACAAGAGUGGCCUAGAACGAGUUAAGAAUUCGGCAAUAUCAUUUGCUUCAAGUGCAAAGUUAAAGGGCACCAUGUUAGAUCUUGGCCUCUGAAGACGAAGUCUCAAAGUCACAAGCAACAAGGGAAGCGGAUCCGUUCUUGGCAACACGUGGUUAUCCUAUAACUGUGUGGCGUGUCAUGCUCCACAUAUCUUAAUUCGCAUAAUAAGCCAUGUUGGUAUCUAAAUCCCUUAGAUGUGCGUGAGUAUAAUGUCCUACUACACCAAUGCUCAUGGCUUAGCCGCUAGAUCGUAUCUAAAAGAAGGGCAUUGUUGAUGCAUGCCUUUCGAAUUAAUCCUCCACACUAUGAUCUAACUAAUUGGGAUGUUAACGUAUGUCAUCUAAACAUUAUGCUUAUGGUUGAACUCCCAUAUCACACUUGUGUGAGUAUAAAACGAUCCUUGUGCUCGUUUGGCACCUACCACCACUGAUAACUUUAAAUGUCAUUGUGUUCUCUCACACAUGGUAUCUCUGGCUUGGUAGUGUUUUUCAUGGUCUUUUUAUUUCGGCCUUAUCUUCAGUUGACCUACAUAACGUGCCGAUAAAUUCAUGUGUCUCCUGGUAGAGCUCGCACUAUUUAUUUCAUAAUGUUGUGGGAGUUACAAUCAUAUUACCUACACUUAUAAAUCUACUGGGGUGAGACAUGCAUGUAAGGUUGUGCAAAAUGCAUGCCUUACAUGGCUUGAUGCCUUGACCAGUUCAUGUGUUGAACUUGGGGUGCUACCAUGUGUUGAUUUGUCACCCUGAUUCAUUUUGGACGACAUGAAUGUUCUGUAAUAGAAAAUUAUGUGUUCAUUCGUCCAAAUUGUAUAUCCUUGGAUUUUGAUAGGAUUGUGUAGGCAUAUCUACUAUGUGUAGAUGCACAUGCCGUGUCUAUCGUAUCUUUGAUCCAAUAUAUGUAUAUGGUAAAUUAGACGUAUUCAUUAAAAAGGUUAGGGUGUGCUUGAAAGUAAAACUUAUAUCUAUAUGCACAUAAUUGAGUUAUCUUACCCUAUAUAUAUAUUGUAGUUGGACUAACUACUUCGGACCCAAUAAGUUUGGGGACCAUAUUGUGCUUAAUUGGUGGUUUAGGUACUUUGGAGAAGCAUUGCUAUCUUGACUUAUUCUCAGAAAAGGAUGGUGCUAGUCACGAAGAAAUUAGAGUCAAGACAGGACUCGGCUACCUCUACGUCAUACCAAUGCUUUUCCGGUAACAAGUAUUUACUUCAUGCAUGUACAAUAUUAGAGUCAACACUGUGUAGGUUGCAUCAUGGCAUGAACAUAAUACUUUUUCCACUUUGUAAUUUCCUACAUGUCCUUGUCAAUCACAUUGAUGAAAUGCUUAGUGUUGGUGUUCUCUUAGCUCUUCAUGGUCAUAUGAAUGAGACAAAUUUGUGCCAUGACCCUUGUGUCAUGUGCCUUGCUCUUAUAAGAGGAUAACUUGUGCAUGAUUCUAUGCACUCAUGCGUUUGACGUAUUUUGGACCCACAUUUAUCGUAGUAAUCGUAUUAAAAGACGUACAUCAGACCAUGUCCAAAAUAUGUUAGUUGAGAGGUCCCUUUUGGCUGCUACACAUGCGAGAAUACUUAGUAUCACCUCAUCAUAUAAAAAAAUUCCAGAAUCAGCUUCUGCCUCCUCCUCUCUCUCGGUCGUCCGACGUGUCUCGGACGUUCGGCGGAAAAUCUCAUUCCGGUCGUCCGACCAGUGUCGGUCGUCCGACGACACAAUUCUCUCCGGACGUCCGACGCCUGUCGGACGUCCGACGCUUCGGGGCCUAUAAAUAGCUGGGCACGGGGCUGGGCUUUGCCCUAGCCCUCACGCGCCCCCUUUUUCCCCUGCCGCCGCUGCCAGCUCCAGUAGCACUCGCCAGUGCCGCCACUCCCGAGAUCUGCCCGAUCUCCUCCGUGGAUCCUCCUCUUCUUCCUCCGCGGGAUCCGUCUCCAGGAUAUUGUGCACCAUGCCAAGACCAAGCACGCCGCACGGAAGAACAUUGCUGGCUCAUCCUCUCGCGCCCCUACUAGCACGGGGUCGGACUCGGAUGGGCCACGUCGUCCCUUCAAACGGACUGCCCAGCGUUCUCCGACCCGGCGUUCUCCGUCUCCACAGCUCCCCUCGUCGUCUGAUGGUGAUGACCCCGACUUCGAGGAUGAGCUUGCCGCCGAGGACCUUGCUGACCAGCCCGCCGAUCGGAGGUCCAAGCCGAAGCCCGGGACUCGCAGGGCGUCGUACAUGCCACCACCUCCUCCUGCUCAGCCCGCAGGUGUAGCUCGUCGCAUCUCACUAGAACCCCCUGCUACUUUAGGUCAUGCAAUAACAAACUUCACCACAUUUGGCGCGUCUUCAUACCUCACUUUCCGCCGCGACAUUGAUCAAUACGCUGUCGUACGUGACUCUACGGACUCACAUUUCCGCACACACGUCCAGGUGGACAUUUUUACUACAGUCAUAGUUCCUAAGGGUUUAUCUGUUCAUCUCUAUAUAGAUCUUGAGCAUAUUCGCAUGCACCCGGCGAAAUACCCGGGUGCCAUUGAGCUUAUUGAGGCAUGGGGGCUUGCCGCCCCGUUUGCCUUUCAUCGCAACUUUAAUGCUGCUGCCAUUCACCAGUUCUAUGCCACAUGCUUAUUUGCUUCAAACCACACUGUUAGCUGGAUCACCUCUGACGUUCGCUUCACAGCUUCUUAUGAUACAUUUGUUGCCGCACUUGGUUUCCCCAACUCCGGCUUCAAAAUUCAUAGGGAUGAUCCUAACCAUGCGCCUAAGUCCAUUGAGGCGUGUGGGUAUCUUCUCAAACCACUAAGUGAGCUGGAUGCGGAUGAACGCAUGAAGGAUCUUAACCAGGUAUCCAUCUGGCGCUCACCUUACUUCAUCAUCUUUCAGUGUCUUAUCCGCACCCUCUAUCCCAAGAUGGGUGAUAAGGGCUCUUGAAGUGGCUACUGUAUUGACAUCAUGUCUCACUUAUACGAGCACCCCAGGAGCAAAAUUAAUGUGCCUCACUUUCUAUGGCAUGAGAUUCGGCUUGCUAGCUUUCAAUACAAGCGAGCCUUUCCUCAUGCCCCCUUCAUCCAGGCUCUUAUUAAUCAUGUUGCUGAUUUCUCUGUUGCUGUCACUCACACACAUCGCAAGUGGGUCAUUCCCGCUCACAUGGCGGAUAACUUUGCUCCCAAGAAAGCCCCAUCCUCCACAUCCACUCACCGCACUGCUGCCCGGUCAGCCACCCCCUCAUCUAGCACCGCUCCUCUCGGUCACAUUGCCAAAUUUCUUGGCAAGGCUCAUUCUGCUAUGAUGAAGGCCGUCUCUUUCCAGUGUGGUCAAACCCAUGAUGUGGUUUCUCGCUUAGUCUCCUCCAAGAAUGCCCUCAAGGCUCGUCUGUGAGCCUCGGGCGCUCUUGAUGUGAGUGAUGAUGAGGCCCCUCCUGCUGCUCCUCCGUCUGACUUUGGCUUCCCAUCUGGUCCUGAGUGGGCUGAUUUCCUUGACGAGGCUGGUGGCAGUGGCUUGCCUGAUGAUGAGGAUGAUGAUGUUGAGGAUGAUGCCUAAUUAAUCAUGAUAUUGAUGAGGGUGAUCCUUGAGUAUGUGAUAGCAUUGCCGGUUUUCCCUCCUUUUUGGUCCUUGAUGCCAAAGGGGGAGAAUAUUAUCUUAUCUUAGUUUCGAUGUUAGUUCCUCUCACAAUGUAUGGUAUGAUGUAUUAUGUCGAACUUAAUGAUGUAUCAUCAUGUAACGAUACUUAUGGAUGGUGUGCUAUGCCAUCACCUAUGGAUGAUGUAUUGUUGAACUAUCAUGUGGAGUUUUAUGCUAUCCUAUUGAUUCAUAUGUUAUGCUAUGUAUUGUUGAACUAUUAUGGUGUUAUAUCAUGAUAUUAUCUUCAAUGCACACAUUAAGGGGGAGCCCCCGCACUUACCUAUUUUACUAUGCAUAUAAUAAGGGGGAGCUUCAUAAGCAUCGUAACAGAACUCUCCUAAGCCACACAUGUCUAUUACUAUUGUUGAGAGCUAUAUGUAUGUUGUCAUCAACUACCAAAAAGGGGGAGAUUGAAAGUGCAGUCAUGCCCUUAAUCAUGUUUUGGUGUUGCUGACAACACACAUAUAGAUAAUUAAUCACUAACCCUUCUUAAGCUAUUGUGAAUGAUCAUGUGUUGAUAAGGACAGGCUCAUGUGCUAACAAGGACAAGAUCAAGAUAAGCAUUCCUGAGCACUACAUGCUUGAUCCUUGUGGAUGUUCACAUGGUGGACAAAUGAAGAUAAAUAUAUAAGCUAGGCUUUCCACAUUGUGUAUGGGAGAGCUACUUGAAGACUUCAUCAUGUCUUGCUUUCAACGUUGAGCCAAGAACGAACAACAACAUCAAGCUCAAGUGAAAGGGCUAACUCAAGGUAACAGUUACUUUGAUGUUAGCGGUGCGGAGUGAUGAUCAGCGAAUAAAAGUACACACUCAAGUAUGGAUCAUCGGUAUCCCUUUUACAAUUCUUGAGUCUUUAGGGAUCCCGCACUAUUAAGAGGGGAUCACAGGUUUUUGUGAUGAACUUGCUCAAACUAGAUAUUCACUAUCCUACUCAAUACCACAUAUUCUCUACUCUGCUCCUAUCUCAAAACAGGUCUAUUUCCUCGGACUUCCGGCUCCCUCCGGACGUCCGAGGGCCGGACGACCGACAGGCUUCGGAAAUCCGGAGCCCUCCACCAGAAGAAAUUGAGCUCUAUAACUCGGACUUCCGGCUCCCUCCGGACGUCCGAGGGCCGGACGACCGGCAGGCUUCGGAAAUCCGGAGCCCUCCACCAGAAGUAUUUGAGUCAUAUAACUCGGAUUUCCGGCUCCCUCCGGACAUCUGAGGGCUGGACGUCCGACCAGCUUCGGAAAUCCGGAGCCCUGCACCAGAAGAACAUGAGCUCUAUAACUCGGAUUUCCGGCUCCCUCCGGACGUCUGAGGGCCGGACGUCCGUCCCCUUUCAGAAAUCCGGAACCUCCCACCAGAAGAAGUUGAGUCGAAUAACUCGGAUUUCCGGUCUUCUCCGGACGUCCGGUCGCUGUUCAAUUCACAGUAUUUUCAGUCAUAUCUACAACCCUCGGACGACCGACCCCUGUCGGACACCCGGACUUCCGGAAACUGUCGGACGUCCGGACCUUGUAUGACUUAAAGUGUCCCCAACGACUGUUUUACACUCCCCACUAUAUAUACCCCUCUCCCACUUCGUGAGAGGGUGCCCAACACAGCCAUAUCCUCAUAAGAACACAUUUCCACCUCACACACAUUUGCUCACACCAAAUCUUAGAUCCCAAGAGCAUUUGUGAGCCCCUUUGAGAGUUGUUCCAAUCAAAAGAUAGAUCGUCUCCCUCUCCUUCUUCACACCAAAGUGAUUUGUGAUUUGAGCAAGUUUUGAGCAAUCCCCGUGAUCUUGUUACUCUUGGAGGUUGGAGACUCCUAGGCGGUAGGAGUUCUUCGGAGAGGAAUCAAUCUGUGUGAUUACCCUCGGAAAAGUUUGUGAGGGUUUGGAAGCCACCUCAAAGGCUUACCACUAGUGGUUGAGAAACGCCUUCGUGGUGUUAUCUCAAAGGGAGAAUAGGGUGAACCUUCGUGGCGUUGGUGUGCCUUCGUGGUAACAUCCACCUCUCUAACGGUGACUAGCUUCCCUCCAAGGAAGUGAACAUCGGGAUACAUCUUCGUCUCAGUGACCUUGGUUAUCCUUAACCCUAACUCCUUACUUGUGGUUUACUUGUGUUACUUGAGCAUACAUACAUUGCAUAUUGUUUGUGCUCAUUAUGUUGUGUUGGCUAUUUCUUUUACAAGGUUAAUCAUUCAAGCAUACCUUCUAUAUCCACACGUUCAUACUUGCAGCAUUUGAUAUAUCGUGUGAUAUAGUGUGAUCUAGUAUCUUGUGUUGUUCACCUACUUGUCGUGUGAUAUAGCUCAAGUAAGUUUGUGUAACUUACUUGUGCUUGUUAGUAACUGUAUUUUGUCCAUCUUGGUAGAUCGUGUUGUUGAUACACGCUGCAGUGCCUAGUGCAUUUAGGAUUUGUGCUUGACAAGUACCCUCUUAGUUUAUUUCCGCAUUAGUUUCAAGCCAAAUCCGAAGAAGUUUUUAAAUAGCCUAUUCACCCCCUCUAGGCGUCAUCGAGGUCUUUUCAACUUUGUAUUGAAGAUCCAAGAGAGAGAAGAAGCCAUCUAGCUACUAACUACGGACCCGUAGGUCUGAAGUGGACUACUCACGAGUCACUAGAGAGGCGAUGAGUUGAUGUAGAAGCCCUCCUACUCCAAAGUCCCCUCCGGCAGGGCACCGGGAAGGGUCUCCAGAUGANNNNNNNNNNNNNNNNNNNNNNNNNNNNNNNNNNNNNNNNNNNNNNNNNNNNNNNNNNNNNNNNNNNNNNNNNNNNNNNNNNNNNNNNNNNNNNNNNNNNCCUACUCGAGGACGAGCAGGAGUUAAGCUUGGGGAUGCUUGAUACGUCUCAAACGUAUCUAUAAUUUUUGAUGAUUUCACGCUGUUAUCUUGCCUUCUUUGUAUGUUUUAUGUACCUUUUAUAUCUUUUUGGGACUAACUUAUUAAUUCAGUGGCAAGUGCCAGUUCCUGUUUUUUCCGUGUUUUUGACUCUUUUCAGAUCUGAUUUUGGAACGGAAUCCAAACGGAAGAAAAACCCUGAAAUGAUUUUUUCUCGAACGGAAGAAGUCCAGGGGCUUUUGGGCCAAGCCAGGUGGGCUCCGGGGAGCCCACAAGCCCCCACUCCGCCACCAGGGGGAGGCGGCGGUGGGCAGGCUUGUGGCCUCCCUGGACGCCCCCUGACCUAGGUCUUUGGUCUAUAAAUUCCCAAAUAUUCCGCAAAAAUUCAGGGGAGCCUUGAAAAUACUUUUCCGCCAUCGCAAGCUUCCGUUUCCGUGAGAUCUCAUCUGGAGACCCUUCCCGGCACCUUGCCGGAGGGGACUUUCGAGUUGGAGGGCUUCUUCAUCAUCAUCAUCGCCCCUCCAAUGACUCGUGAGUAGUUCACUUCAGACCUACGGGUCCGUAGUUAGUAUCUAGAUGGCUUCUUCUCUNNNNNNNNNNNNNNNNNNNNNNNNNNNNNNNNNNNNNNNNNNNNNNNNNNNNNNNNNNNNNNNNNNNNNNNNNNNNNNNNNNNNNNNNNNNNNNNNNNNNNNNNNNNNNNNNNNNNNNNNNNNNNNNNNNNNNNNNNNNNNNNNNNNNNNNNNNNNNNNNNNNNNNNNNNNNNNNNNNNNNNNNNNNNNNNNNNNNNNNNNNNNNNNNNNNNNNNNNNNNNNNNNNNNNNNNNNNNNNNNNNNNNNNNNNNNNNNNNNNNNNNNNNNNNNNNNNNNNNNNNNNNNNNNNNNNNNNNNNNNNNNNNNNNNNNNNNNNNNNNNNNNNNNNNNNNNNNNNNNNNNNNNNNNNNNNNNNNNNNNNNNNNNNNNNNNNNNNNNNNNNNNNNNNNNNNNNNNNNNNNNNNNNNNNNNNNNNNNNNNNNNNNNNNNNNNACACAUCAAGCAGUUGCCAUCAAGGGUAAAAAGAUGGGGGUUUUAUCAUUGGUUUGAGAUUAUCCCUCUACAUCAUGUCAUCUUGCUUAAGGCGUUACUCUGUUCUUAUGGACUUAAUACACUAGAUGCAUGAUGGAUAGCGGUCGACGUGUGNNNNNNNNNNNNNNNNNNNNNNNNNNNNNNNNNNNNNNNNNNNNNNNNNNNNNNNNNNNNNNNNNNNNNNNNNNNNNNNNNNNNNNNNNNNNNNNNNNNNAAACUACACGAGAUUCUAAGCAAGUUUCAUAUAGGACACGAUCAAAUCGGAGCUACGGUUCAACAACUACGAGCAAAACAAGAAAUCACUACAAUCUGCCAAAAUCAGCAACAUAGCAUAUUCUACGCCCCACAACUACGGCCACACAACUCCGAUAAGCUCAAGCAAGGCAUGGCACGGAAGAGGGCAAGAAGCACUACUACAAACAACUAACAACAACUAGCAUGGCAUCAUGGAUCACUAGGGAAAGAAGACACAAAAUGGCAUCUCACACACUAUUUCAGACUUAGUGAAAAUAACACCUCAUGAAAGUGCAGUUUUCAGCGUGAAGUAAUAUUGAAAGCAGCAAAAUCCUAAGCUACAGGUCUCCAAAUGGCAUGAAAAUUCACAGCAUGCUAGAGAAACACAAGGGGUACAACUAACUCCAUUGGACCAACCUCAAAAGAGCUACAGAUCACAAGAUGCAAGCAAGACAAGACAGCAACCAAAUAUAACAGAUUCUAGACUUCAAAAUAUUUCAGCUCCUCUAAAAACAGCACUAUUUCUAGCAACUUGAGAGCAAGCAAACCAGACCUAAACAUGCUUUUCUAUUGCAACUAAAAAUACCAGGGGCUAAACAAAACAUCCAAGAUCAACUCUCUAGUUGACAACUAAUUCAAACGAGGCACGGAAUAAAACCUACGAAUUAAUCAAAAGGGCAACAUAGGAAAAUAUCUCGCGAACAAACUUACUCAAAAGCUAAAACUAAUUGCACAGAAAAAUCCAUGGGAUUUUUCUACCCCGGAAACAUAUAAAAUACGUGGGGUUUGCAACACAAAAUAAAGCCACACAUUAAUGCGGAAAAUACCCUAUAUACGGGAAAAUAAACUAGAGGCAAAUCCCUACACGCAAAAAUACAAAUGACGGCUCUAAAAUGCAUGAAAAAAUGGCCCGUAAAACAUGGGCAUUUCUGUCAUGGCAUUCGAGCAAUUCAAACACGCGCGGAAAAUAAAUGCGGGCACUAUCCUAUCUAGACAACACGUUAAACUAGGCGUUCGGCACGUAAAACUACGUCAAAUAAAUAUGCAAGUGCUAUAAACGGGUUCUACGCGCAAAUCUACACGAAAAGCAUAUAAAAAUCAUCGCGAUCCGACUUACGGAUAAAAAGUUACGGACGUUUGAAUAUACGCCUAUUUUUCUGGAAUUUAAUUAAUUCCUAAAUAUCCCUAAACGAAAAUAACUACCGGGCCGAAACUAUUCCUAAUGGGCUACACCACAGCGAGCAUCACAUCUAUAAGGCGCCACGGGUGCUGGUUAGGGAGGCAGGCUCACCUUGGGCCGAAAGGAGCUGGAGGCCGAGGCGCGGCGCUACUAGGCCGGGGCGAUGGCCGCCUGGGCCGUCGGCGCGCUGGAGAGGCCCCAGGAGCGGGAGGGGCGAUGCGCCAGGGCGGUUCGUCCUCCUCUGUUCCGAUCAGAGGGAGACGGCGGCUGCGCCAUGGCAGCGGCACGGAGGCCGAGCUCCGGCAUGUCACGGGAGACGGGGACGGUCGGGACGGGGCCGGGGUCGGUCGGAUCUCACUGCCAGCGGGGGCGAGGCGCAAGGGCGGCGGUGCUGGCGGGCAAGGCGGCAAGGGCUUCGCGCGGGGCGGCGCUGCAGCGCGCGGCGGCGCGUUCCCCGGUGGAGGCCGGCGGCGGGGUACCUCCCGCGAGGAGCUGCGAGUCGGGGUCGAGGUGGCGCACUCCGGCAGCGGCGGCUGCUGGCCGGCGACUGUGACGCUGCGAGGAGUCGGCGGCGGCGGCUCGGGGAUAGAUCGGGGCAGUGGCGGCCGGGCCUGGGCGGGCCGAGUCGGUGGGAGGAGACUGGUGGGAGGAGAGAGGCUAGCGUUUGGUGGGGUGGCGCGGAAAUCGAGGAGGGAUUAGGGGGAGGCUGUCUAAAAUGCACGGGGAACUAUAUAUAGACAAACGAGGGGGCUCGGUUAACCGGAAUCGCAUUCCGGAUCCAACCGCGGGGUCNGUCGGGGUCGAGGUGGCGCACUCCGGCAGCGGCGACUGCUGGCCGGCGACUGCGGCGCUUCGAGGAGUCGGCGGCGGCGGCUCGGGGACAGAUCGGGGCGCCGGUGGCCGGGCCUGGGCGGGCCAGCCGUGGGCCUGGCGGGCCCAGUCGUUGGGAGGAGACUGGUGGGAGGAGAGAGGCUAGGGUUUGGUGGGGUGGCGCGGAAAUUGAGGAGGGAUUAGGGGGAGGCUGUCUAAAAUGCAUGGGGAACUAUAUAUAGACAAACGAGGGGGCUCGGUUAACCGGAAUCGCAUUCCGGAUCCAACCGCGGGGUCGGAUUCGGACGAUUCCGAACGCAGGUAUGGGUACGCGGGCGUGUAGAGGGGAUAUCCGGAGACGAGAGGGAGAACGGGCGGCGCGGCACGAAUUUUAAGACACCGACAGACGUCCGACGAAUAAUCGAAGACGGUGCCGCUACGGUCGACCGUUCGGGUAGCAGACGGUCUCCGAUCGCGACGAAAUUCGACAGGCGGCCCAGCUAUAUCUAAUCGCGACCGCGUGCCAAGUUUCACCUCGAUCAGAGAAAGUUUUAAACGCACUUUAAAAACAGGGUUUCGACGGUGCCACGAGCGCGUGCGAGUGCAGUGAGGCUCGGAACGAACAACGGUGCGAACCGGCAACUAACAACGGAUGCAAGUUUUGAAAACGGGUGGCAAUAGAGACGGCGAUGCAAUGCAGAUGAUGUGCAUGAUGCGAUGAUGAUGCGGCAACUGAAAAUACCCACACGACGAAAACCGAAAGAAAAGGGGAAGCUUCUGGAACGUCGGCAUCGGGGUGUCACAACUCUCCUACACUACAAGAGGAUCUCGCCCCGAGAUCCAAGAAUGAAAGGGGGAGAGGAUGAGAAAGCAAGAGGUAAAAAUUUAGUCGCUUCUUUGACAAACGAGUGAAACCAACAAUCCUUGAAGGUUGCAAGGAGACGAGGAAUGACAUGAGAAAGAAGCCGGAAUUCACGGAAAAUUUCUGCAGCACUUCGGUAGGAAAAUGGGACAAAAAAUUCAAUAAGGUGAGGGAAUCAGACAAUAUGCACAACAAACAAGUAAAUAGAGCAAGGGAACACCAUGAUCUUGAUAGAACAACAAGAUUGACCCGAAAGGGCAACAACACAAAGCCUCCAGAACGAGAGAAUAGAAACUAGCUCAUACGGAAGAAGAGUAUGAAGAAAAGAAUGACAACUACUAACUCCAAUGAACUUGGCAGGCAUCCUUGCAAGAAGAAUUGGACGAAGUUGUUGGAAGAACAACAACGACAAGAACAAGAUAGUAGUGGGCUUAUGAAAAUCAUCUCAACAAAUAUGAGGUGACAACCAACCACUAAAAGAAACAAGGAUAGAUUGGGAGAAACAAGAUAUGGACAAUCUUACACCAAGAGGAUACAUUGAGAACUCAGAUUAAAGACAAGCACCAUGAUAGCACAAUCCAUAGGAAAAGCUUUAGGUGAAGUCCAAACCAAGAUAGCUCAAUGAAGAAAUCAUGGGUUGCAAAUAUCUCAUGAUCAUAGAAUCGGUGGGUUUAAUUAUCUCAUUCUUGAAAGGAAAACUCUUCGAGGCUCCUACACUAACAAGAAGGCUAUAAUACCACCUCAAAGGAUAAAGGAAGAACAAUUGCACAUAUAAAUGCAAGAGAAAGGAUACUUGAGGUUCUCCAACAAGAAUCUUGAAGAACACUUGAGAACAAAUUGAAACCUUGAUGAAUCACCAUGAAGGACCUCCGUAUACAAAUGAAUGAUGCAAAGAUAUCAAGGUAGAAAAGAAUAAGAUUAUGACCUUGCCAAAAUUAAGAUGAAGCCUCACAGAGAGAUACCUAAAAGAACUUGGAACUUCGGAAAAGAAAAGAUAAGCACACUUGAGAAAAAGGAAUUGAUAUCGUGAGCCGCUCCGGAAGGAGAAUUCAGAUUACUAUUGACAAGAAUAAGAAUUAUGUUAUGCUAGUCCUUCAUCAAGUUUAAUGGAUGACAAGCAACGGAUUUAGCAUACCACUUAUUCCUCUUAAAAAGAUUAAAGAGAGAUAGAUAAAGCACAAACUAGAAGAAAUGUUGCAAGAAACACCGGUAAUAAUUCACAAUUGAAUGGGAAUUCCAAGAAUGCAUGGAAACAUCUGAGAAUGAAGAGAUCAUGAGCCACCUGAGAGAAAACUUGAACAAGGCACCAGAUAAUCGAGAGACGAACGAAGAGACAACAAUUGAGAAGAAUUGAGGAUGAAGGCUGAAAGCUGAGAACGAAGAAUCUUCUGAAAUGAUGGCCUUCGGAGGAUCGAGAAAUAAAAACAACUCAGAGAAGCACCGGAUAGCAAGAAGGGAUCACUCAUGAUUGGGGACAAAUGAGAGGAUAGCACGAAGCUGAGACGACAAUCUCCAAGAGAAUGGACCAAGAUUUACGAGGAACACUCCUUCGAAUUGCAAGCUGAGGAUGAUGAUGAGAAAAACACCGAGAAUAGCUGAGACACCCCGGAAUAAAGAAAAAUGCAAGGUUGAGCCAAUAUGAGGAUUAAUUCAAAUAGAUCCUGAAGAAGGGAUAUGACUGAUGAAAAACAUACUUACGUCAUAGUUGAAAAGAAUUAAGGAUCUCCGGAAAAAGAUUAAAGAGCCAGGUAAGAUCCUGGGAAAACCUGUGGGUUAUGGGCCCACUCAAAGAAAAUCACCGUUGAAACAAUAGCUAGAACGAGAGAUAUUGCACUGGUAUGAAGAGAACUAGAUGAGGUUGAGAACCUCGAAAUAAUGAAAGAAUUGAAAACAAGAAAUCUGAGAUAACUUCAACGCUCCGGAUGAAAAGAGAGGAAUGAAUAGCAACAAGACUGACUGAUAAAAAUCUCCAACAAAGGAAAGAAUUACACGGAUGAAUGGAUAUGAUGACACGGACAACUAAAUUAAAUCUCCGGAUGAGACACGGAAGAAAAUAUAGCGGAAGCACAAUGAAAUGAAUGCGCUUGGAUGAAAUCCAAUCACCAAAGAAAAAGGGCGGNNNNNNNNNNNNNNNNNNNNNNNNNNNNNNNNNNNNNNNNNNNNNNNNNNNNNNNNNNNNNNNNNNNNNNNNNNNNNNNNNNNNNNNNNNNNNNNNNNNNAGCUGACAUUUUGCAGAACACAUCAAAUGGUCCUAUCUCAGAAAAGUUGAAAGGAAAGGUAGAGCUAAAUUUGCAAAUAUUUAGAAGCCUUACCACAUCAAAUUCUUUUGGAUGAGUGAGCAUGUAAACUCGAGCAUCAGCCAAGUGAGCUUCCACCUUGCUAAUAACAGAAGCCCCAUUGAACUUGAUGUUCCUCUUGCAAGCUUCAACAGAAGCUGAAGAAAGAAAAGCACAUUGAAUGUGCGGCGGCAUUCAUAACUAGGAAAGAAGUUUUAGAAACGUAUGUAUUACCUUUAUCAUUGUCCAGAGCAACUACCUUUCCUAAUCCAUCAACUUCACGAGCAUAACGGAGAGACCUCAACCCAGAAGCAGCUAACGCCUGCAUUUUUUUGUUGCCAGUGCAAAACCGACCUCAGGUGAUGUUAAUAUGUGCAUAAAUAAUUGACUGGAUGUCACUAUACUUCAAACUUCUUGCAGAAAGAGAUAUGACAAGUUUCAUUUUUAACAGAAGCCUCACCUCAAGAACAAUUGGUGGCUUAAGCUCUCUGGUUACUUUCCCGGAAGGUGUCUUCGUUUCUUCUUUUGACGGAUCUUCUAUUUCAUUUGUAGCCUGAUUUGGCUCCUUUUCAUGAACAACAUCGGUUUCAUCAUGCUGAGUUAAAGCAGUGUCUCCAUUUACAACAGGUGUUUCAAUCUGAUUGCCUUUUUUAUGCGACUUAUUAUUCCUUUUAUUCAUCAGUUCCUCAUGUUCUUCCUUGCGCUUGGCAACAAAUGUCCUUAACACAGCAAUGGACAUGUCUCUGUUGUGCACCUAAUCAAAGCAGUAAACUUGAGCUUUACAAAAAAUAUAUGCAUGAUGGUUAGCUGCAGGAUUAUCCAUAAGUUUAUAAAUGGUAUGUACUUUCCCUUUAACUUUUUAUAAUAGAAAAUACCCAUAGUCAACCAAGCAUCUAUAUACUGCCCAUCUAGCCGCCUACCAGCAUUGAAUUUGUCCCACUAAUAUGCUGUUUCAGACACCAUAGCCUGAGAUGUUGGCCAACAUGACUGAUACUUGACCUGACAAUAUUAACUACUCCCUCUGUCCGGAAUUACUUGUCGCACAAAUGGAUAAAAAAGGAUGUAUCUAGAACUAAAAUACAUCUAGAUACAUCCAUUCUUAAUUUCUUAUGACAAGUAUUUCCGGACGGAGGGAGUAUUAAAAAGUACUACCUCUGUUCCUAAAUGUAACGUGUUUUGGCAGUUCAUUUCACACAAGAAACUCUACAUUCCAUAAGCAUGUUUAUCUAUAGCAAAAGUUCAGGGACUCCUGAAGUCACAAUGCAACUUGAAACCCUUUAAUGGAACAAACUUUGCCAAAAUAAAAUAAAAAAGGGGAGUAUUUUGAAGAAACAACAUCAUGCGAUUUGAAACCGUCCAACUAUCAAUCCAAUUGCUUUAUCCAGUACCAGAAUACCACGUAGACAAAGCCAAUAACAUGUAAGGGGCUUUGAUAUAUCUUUGAACAUUUGUAAAUUUAGAUAGAAUACAAAACAGUCUACUGCAGAGCGCUAACAUAAAUUAUCAUCAGAAUAAAAAAAAACAAGUUUAGCUAGGCAGAAACCACAAUCAUGGUACAGCGAGGUCAAGUUGACACUACAGAUCCAAACACAAUGACAUAUUAAUCGUCCCCCAGCACCCAAUUUGGAGUUCUAAAGUAACUCGAAGCUCUAAAACUGCUACACGCCGAUCAACUAGAAGCCAGCUGUGGAUGAAACAAUACAUACAGUGCAAGCAAUAAAGCAAAGCCCCGCAAUCACUAUACGCCUACGCCCUAUAUAGGUUAACUCAAGGAGUGCAGAUUUUAAUCCCUAAUCCAGAGCGUAUAAAAACAACAGACAAAUAUGAAAGCGAAGAUACCUGCACGGGAUUGAAGAACACGGCGUUACUAUUGAGCAUGAGGAUCUCAGCCUCGCCUUCCUUCUUGAUCUCAAAGCCCUUGAGCUUGUCCUCCAGGUCCCCCAUGUCUACAAAUCCAAACCCAACCACGGAAUCCAAGGGAAAUUAGUAGCCCGCGGUGAGGAGGACGAGGUUCGGCGAGAAAGGACGGACGCUAGCGCUCAGCGGCACGGAGUUCGGAGGUGAGGUAUAUGGCGGCGGCGGCGGCGGCGGCGAGGGGGAAGACGAAACUCGCGGAACCCAAACUGGCAGCCAGGGCUUAACAUAGGCUGUAAGGGUUCUUUUCGGAAAAUAUAAAAAUCAAAAUAAGAAUUGAGAAAAAAAAUUAGGGUCCGAUAUACAUCACACGUGUGGCAUACUAGACAUGUCCCCACAUAUUCUGGGUGACAUAAUCAGGAGACAGUCCACACGGUCAUGUGCGGGCGAACAUUAGAACUGCCCACACGUGUGGGCACACCUACUUCAUGUGACACGUCAAACAAUUACUAUUCAUACCCCGCGUGUGCGGCACAAAGCAAAUCUGCCUACACAUUCUGGCAGCUACGUUAGUUAUCCGUCGGAUGACACUUUAGUUACCCGAUGGAUGGCAACUUUAGUUGUUCGAGAUGACAAAUAUAAUUGUAAAAGCAUGGCAACUUUUCUGUUUUGUUAAACUAUAGUUGUNNNNNNNNNNNNNNNNNNNNNNNNNNNNNNNNNNNNNNNNNNNNNNNNNNNNNNNNNNNNNNNNNNNNNNNNNNNNNNNNNNNNNNNNNNNNNNNNNNNNACAUGACGCGUGUAGAACCUAGUAAGAAUUGUGCUGUUCAGUAAAUUGGUUACUCCAGCUAAAAAGUAGUAGACCGUUUCCUGGUCUGUUUUUUCCCGUUUUGCUUGAUAAAAGCAAAAGCUUGUAAUUUGUCCUUGGUUGUAGCCAAGGGUCGGAAUGAUUUUGCAGUAAUUUAGAACAUCUAGCUUAGCAUUUAUUUAUUGUGUCACGUGCAUAUUUGUGGAUAGGUUAUAUGGAACUGAUAAAUUUUUAUGUGUUCUCUUUAAACUUCAUUCACGUUUUCUCUUGUUAUGCAGGAAUUGCAUGACAUUCCAUUAUUUUUUAGUCUCCAUAACAUAUCUGGGACUGUGAAGUGCACAUCACCAUCUGCAGUUAUGUUCCGGUCAGCAGUUAUAAAUGCAGGAUAUCAGAUAUCAAGCAGUCACUGUAACCCGCUCGGGCUGAAGUCUGAUGCCCCGUGGGAUGUUAUUUGGGACAUCAUGCGCUGCUGGGUAAAUAUUGGUUGUUUGUGACCUUUGAUCACAACUUCCAUUCAGUAUGUAGCCUCAAGUACCCCAUGAACUUGUAUUUACCUUAUGGCUUUGUGGAAUAUUUGAAUGCAGGUGAAAAACCAUCCAAUCAAGGAACAGCCGCGUGAUUCUGCAGGCACUGCAAUCCUUUCUAAAUCUCCACAGCUAGAAGUACGCUAUUUGUUGAGAUUACAAUGUCCCUUGUAUGCUUGUAUGUGAACAAAAUUGUAUUUUUACUCCUCAUUUUGUGUUUUCAUCAUAGGCAAAUUUCUCUAGAGCAGUUGCUGCCCUCAGCAAGGCUCAGAUGAAGAAGGUGAAUCGGUUCCUUCCAAACCCAGAAAGUCACUGGGGUCCAAAGGUCAGGGCAGGUCGGAGAAUUACAAACAAGCAUAUCUCCCUGUUAGGCGCAGAGGCUACCAAUGAAGCUAUCAGCCGCCAAGAUGGAAAUGGAGCGGUGACAGAUAAGCCAGGUUCAGAUACAGGAGCGACUGUCACAGACGAAGAGAAUGAACCUUCAACCAAACGCCAGAAAACCGAUGAUGGUGAACCCGCCAGCGAACCUUGAUUGACAUUGUCAUCGUAACUUUUUGUUCGUCAAUCUUGAUAUCACUUGUUGUUUCUUUCUUGUGAGCGAACAGACUAUUGAUAGUACCUACUGUGACAUGUUUUGAGCAAUGAAUUUUGAUCAGGCAAUUUUACUCUAUAGUUUGUCAUUUCAUUUUAAUUUAUUAUUUGCCA
rnacentral:lncRNA from 1 species